rnacentral:lncRNA from 1 species
CUCUCUCGAGUUCACGCCCUUGUAUAUCGACCGAUAUCGGUCGAUGGCCGGUGGGCCCAGAGCGAAGCCGGCUGUCGCUAUAAAAAUUCGCCUAGAGUCUGCUAUGUGGUUUAUUUCGGUAAAGGAAUGGCUAAACUUUUAUAAAUACACAAUUUGUAACUCCUUUUUCGAAAGAGUUAGCCGUUAGAGGUGCCCGGAUAAUGACCUCAAUUUCCCGACCACUUUCGUUUCCUUCGCCUCCAUUUUGUAAACAAAGAACAGCUGCGCGACUGUCUUCACAAAAAACGAACAAGUUUUCAAGUAAAAUGUCCGAUUCUGACCCCGAUUAUGGUCUGGAUGACUCAUUUAGUGAGUUUUCUAUCGAUGACAGAGACUCUGAAUCAGAUAAAGAGUCUGACAAUGACGUAGCAAGUCCUCAACCAGGACCAAGUGGUGCAGCCAACGGGGGUGACUUCAGUGGUUCGUAACGUGAUGCGGAUGAUGCAAGGUACCCAAGUUCAAGCCGACGCUGCGGCCAGGCCUGCAUCUCGAUGAGGACCGGACCAAACAAAAUGCGGAAAUAUCUGACACCAGGUGCUUUCUUCACUCUUUCGAAUGGAGGCAUUUGUGUUGCAGAUCUGCACAUACACCUACGAGUAGGCCAACCUUGCGGCAAUGAAAGAGACUCGUCCAUCUCUAGCGCAGAAAUUGUUUUCGUUGUUAUCGUCUUGAGAAAGUGUCUAGUUUCAAAUGUAACAAGUGUGGAAAAAACUUCUGUUUUAGUAGCACAAGAAACUGUCUUCUUUUAGAUCAUCCAGCUAAUGAGUAUGAGUGAUGUUUUGUAUUCAAUGACAUACUCUGAGUGGAAAUAUAUGCACAAAUGUUUUCGUCACUAUUUUUCAACUCAAGUUUUAAUUUUUCUUGCAUCACAGUUGGUUUAUAAACCUUUUAGAUGAUGAAUUCUCUUCUUUUAUUGUCAAAUAAUGUGAUUUGAAUGUUUUUGUAGAAAUACCAUAGCCUAAUCUUGGCACAAUGGGAGUAAUAAGAGAAUUUUGUGAAAAUUCUAUUUUCGGUAACAAUUAUCUCCAAAAUACAUGUAAUUUUCCAUGUGCCACCAAAGUGUUCAUAUGGGUCCUAAAUUAUUCAUUCUUUGUCUGUCAUGAGCAGAAAUGGACAUUCUUUUAGAAUAUCAAUAAAUUUUGGGUCAAUCUGA